GGUUUCCUGGUGUAAUGGCUAGCACUGCGGAUUCUGACUCUUGAAGAGCAUUCCGCCAAUCUGGGUUCGAUUCCCAGGGAGACCU